rnacentral:tmRNA from 2 species
GGGGGCGACAUGGUUUCGACGCUGGUGACAACCCUUGCGGUGCAUGCCGAGAGCGUGAUGUAUCUCGUAAAUCCCACAUCACGAAAAAAUAGUCGCAAAUGACGAAAACUACGCUCAAGGCGCGCUAGCAGCUUAAACACUGUUAGCUUCUUGUCUGGCCCCAAGGUGAUGUGCCUAUUCAUCGCUGCGGGGAUACGAGCUAAAGCUGAUAGGACCGCGUUUGGUGGUGUCUUCUCGCCAAGCGUUAAACUUUAGAAGGCUCGCGUUGCUGAAUCCUGACCGUCGGAGUCAGUCGCGCUAAACUAAAUGACGGAAUCUAAGCAUGUAGAGCCAAUAGGCGCGUGCUGGCGGACGCGGGUUCAAUUCCCGCCGCCUCCACCA